AAGCGUGCGCAGGCGGUUAUGUAAGACACGAUGUGAAAUCCCCGGGCUCAACCUGGGAACUGCAUUAGUGACUGCAUAGCUGGAGUACGGCAGAGGGGGAUGGAAUUCCGCGUGUAGCAGUGAAAUGCGUAGAUAUGCGGAGGAACACCGAUGGCGAAGGCAAUCCCCUGGGCCUGUACUGACGCUCAUGCACGAAAGCGUGGGGAGCAAACAGGAUUAGAUACCCCUGU
rnacentral:rRNA from 1 species